CUCGCCUAAUCUCGAAGUACUUGUUCUUGAGGAAAAUAGAUUUUCUUCAACCAAAUCCUGGAGCCCACCUCUGAGAGUGCCUCAUUGUUUGUUAUUCAAUCUCAAGGAAGUUGAGUUUCUUUACUUACGUAGAGAAAACCAAGAGUUUGAAGUGAUAGAAUAUUUGCUGAGAAAUGCAGAAGUUCUGAAGAAAAUGACAGUUGAUUGUCAGCAUUCACAUAUCUGGCAGAUAGCACAAGUUCCAAGGGCAUCAAAGACCUGUAUUCUUAAUCUCCUUUAAAGAUAUGCAUUAUUGGGAACGAACUUGGGCUGACUGACCCUCUGGCUGAUGAUUACAAUGCUAGAAUGGCUCGGAUGGAGUUGAUGAUGACCAAUCUGGUUGGAGUGUGGUUCAGAAUCUACAGCAACAUGUGUUGCCUCCACAACCUCCACCUUCUGCAGGAAAGGGACCUCCUUCUCCUCCUCCUCCUCCUCCACCUUAGGUACCAUUUCCUAUGGGCCAG